CUAUGGAUCGAUUCAACCUUCCCUUCCCUCUAAACCUUGGUAUUUAAAACAUGGACAAAUUAGUAAAUCUACAACAUCUGUAAUAUGUCGCCUACGACUGGGCUUCAUUGCUACCCCUGUUUUUCUUGCCAAAAUCCGCAUUCGUAAUCAUUCCCUGUGUGAAUGCGGCUUGGAAGAGGGCUCUUUAGAACACAUAUUUUUCAAUUGCCCGAAACUCAAGGUUCAUUUAUACGACCUGCUCCCUACCAACAUUCCUAGACCCAUUAAUAUUCCAUUCUUACUAACUAUGGUUCACACUCCCUUGAGUCGCAACCGUCACCAUCAACCGGUCAUUUGUCAAAUAGAUCUAUACUCCGUCUAUCUCUCUGUUCUUUGCUACUUAAUCUUUUAACCUUUUAAUCUUCCUUUUUUCGUUUUCAAUUACCUUCAACCUUGACGUUGGCGAAAUCAUCGAAAUUAAACGAUGGGGUCCACUAGCAACUAAAAGAAGAAGAAGAAGAAGAA